UUUAUUUGAUUUCCUUCGGGACUGAUUAUUUUGUGACUGAGUGGCGGACGGGUGAGUAACGCGUGGGUAACCUGCCUUGUACAGGGGGAUAACAGUUAGAAAUGACUGCUAAUACCGCAUAAGACCACAGCACUGCAUGGUGCAGGGGUAAAAACUCCGGUGGUAUGAGAUGGACCCGCGUUGGAUUAGCUAGUUGGUGAGGUAACGGCCCACCAAGGCGACGAUCCAUAGCCGACCUGAGAGGGUGACCGGCCACAUUGGGACUGAGACACGGCCCAAACUCC
rnacentral:rRNA from 1 species